AAGAUUUAAUACCCCCAAUGUGCCCUUUCUGCAGUUCCUGCCCCCGCCGCAUCACGAUGCAUCCGGCGUCUCUGAGUGCAAUAACAAAAACCCGGGAGGAAAAAACCAAAAAGUGACCUUUUGCAAAAAAGGAGUUUGCACUAGCCUCUGCGGAACCAGCCUCUCUCUUGUAUUUUCCAGCAGUAAACAUUUGGCGGCAAUGGCCUAAGAAGAAAGUUCCAGGGAACAGAUCAUUUCUAUGGGACAGAUCAACAGAAUUUAACAAGAAUACAAAGAUGAUCUUCAUCGACCUUUGAUAGUUAUAAAAAGUAAAAGAAGUCCCAUACCUGGAGUACUAGAGUGCCUGCAACUGAUGCGAGAAAUGAAAAUUAAAUGACAGCUAUUCCAAAUGCACAGGCUGUAAUGAAAACAGGAUGACGCUGAUAAGAGUCGUUGGUCGACGACUUGUGAUGUUGUCAAGUUUGGAAUCAAUGAGAACGUGCCUCCAACCACAAGUAUCCAAAAUGUGUUCCAUACGAUUGAAGCUGCCAAAAAAGAUACGAUUUCAUAAAUUCAACUAAGCUGAUGCAUGGAAGUGCUGUUUUAGAAAGAACUGAUUGAAAUCAAGCAUAUGUAUGGUAGUCCAGAACUAUUCGAGGAAUAAAACAAAAAUUUGAAGAAGCCCUGUCUGACAUAUGAUGUAAAUCAGGUACUUCAAUCAAUUCAUUCUUCGUUAUUAUGAUUUCGAUUAUCUACGUUUUCAUAAAAGUCUAUCAUGGCUUUGAAAAACUCACUCAAACAGUGUCAGUCGUUUUUCAUCAUUUGCGCGACAAAUAGCGUUUAAAUACAGAGACAGUUCUUUGAGAGUUAAACAUUCCAGUUUAUUAAGACCAUUCGACCUUUAAAAGUAAUUCCAUUUUCGUUCAAAUGCGUAAAUGGGUAGAGCAUGUUUUAGUACGUUUUAACAUUGAUUUUAACCCAUAGUUUUCAAGCAGCAUGCUUAACAAAUCUACCAAACACGAAACUUUUACGUUUAAAACUGUUAGCUGGGAAUUUGCAAAAUCUUCAGAACAAAGAGAUUGGAACCUUUCAUAUUAGCCCUCCUCACCCGCCCAUAUUCUUAAUUUUGUUGCCCUCUGCAUCUUCUUUCUACUAUCCCGCAGAACUUUACGGUUCCCGCAGAACUUUCCCAUUUGCUCGUCUUUCCUCCCUACCUAAUUUUUGCUGGCUCUGAUUCUUAAGGGAUGCUACCUAAAUUCAAUUUAGAAAAAGGGCUUGAAGGCAAUGUAUGUAUGAAAUGUAUGAAUGUAUAGAUCUAUUUACAUUGUAUCACAAGUGAUGCUGGAAGGAAAGCUUCAAAUUGAGUUAAUUAACUGACAAAGCAAUAAAGAAAACCCUGUUCAUCGAUACCUCUCAUUGUCCCAUUUGACGUCAAAGCCACUAUAAUAGGCCCCAUCCUCACAGAACACUGGCACUUCAAACCAGCCGAUGCUUAUCUCAAACAAAUCUGGAACAAUACCUGACCAGGUCUAUCUCUCACCAGAAGGCCUAACCUUACGGGCGUGCUUUUUUUCUGUAAAACAUCAAUCGGUCAUUCGAUUAUCUAUGAUUCUGCAACCAGUCAUUUCAUGGUUUGCAUUCAUGCACCCACCAUUACUUAUUCCACCAUUUCACCUUUUAGUUAUUUUAGACCAGAGGUGAGAGGGGGAGCAUUAUCACCUGAGCUGGCAAUUAACCAGACUAACUUUUUCUGACUCGAUUUUUUGUGUAGAUUACGAAUCCGGAUGUUGCUUUGGCGUUUAGGGGGGCGUUUUCUAGAUAUAGGGGGUCAAAGCCCAAAAACACGCGACUUGACCUAAUUUGACUGUUUUCUGCUAUCACACUUUAAAAAUUGGUAAUUUUUGUUAUUAUCUGGUGAUGUAGUAAUCUUACGAAAACUAAAAGACAGUGAUAAUAGUUUCAAAUUACGUAUGUUCUUGAAAUAUAAGAAGUUUUGAAAACUUGUUGCUCAACAUCGUUCAAAGAAAAGGGAUCCGUUGAUAUAGACAAAGCUCUUACUAAUCCUCUUGCCCUUGCAACAACUGAAGAUACAGAUGCCAAACAGCCAAGUGUAUACUACUACAUACUGCAUUAAAAUCAAUCAUAGUACGAAAAAACCCGCUGCCAAAAGUUAAUCUGGAAAAAAAAUCGGUGAAAUUUCGGUGAGAGCUUGAACAAUCUUCGGAGUAAAGAAUUGGAAAACUUUCUGUAAGUUAUUUUUACCUUCAACAUAGAAUUAUCUGGAGCACAGUCAUAAAAGUUACAAAAAUCGAAUACUUUGAUGCAUACCAAGUGACAGUUGAACUAUCAAUGUAAGGAACAUUUUAAAAUAUCACUGGAACAUAAUUUCAAAAGAUAAAGAGAUAGCAUUAAAAAAACAUAAAAAACAUUUGAGAUCUAAUAACCCACACACACAUUGGGACACAUGGAUAACACCCCUCCCCCCAAGAGUUCUGAAUAUGUUCUCAGCAGAUUCGACAUUUUUUGUGCUUACUCAGCAAACUUGGUGGUGGCGUUAGUUAAAAAAAUCAAUAAUAGUCGAUGGUAUAUUUGAUUGUUUUCAUUUUCAUUUCGAUUUGUUCCUCUUCGCUCCUCGGCACGUUAAUAUUUCAACCGUUAAUUUGCAAACUGAAACCACUGGGAGCUAAACUCCACAUUACAAUUUUUCAGCGUUGGUUGCGCGAAUGAUGAGAAUGACUACCAGAAAAUCGAUUAAAACAGUCAAAUAGCGUUCCACCCGCGGAUAUUUAUUUUAGGAAUGAGACUGUAUUGUAAAGUAGUAAAAAUGUCUUAAAUGAGUGAAAUUUCCAGCAAACUGGAAGCAUCAAAGUUCGAAAAUUUCCCCCACCUUUUGCGGCAACCAUGGUGCCGUCUCAGGUACUAACUUUCGUGUCAUGGUUCCUAUUCUGUUUAAUGAUUAAAUGACAUCUUUUUUCAUUACUCAGAAAAGUUUACAGCGUUGUGAAUAUAGAAAAAUCGUGAAAAAAGACAUACAAAGAACUUUCUUAACAUAUGUCUUUUGUCUUUUUAGGAAUAUUUUGUUAUAAAGGCGAUUUCCCCACAAAAUAAUAUUAAUCACGCUCUAAGUAGCUGUUCUUUCUUGUCUGUUAUAUUCAUGUCCUGUCAUAAUCUUAAUGAUUGUGCGUCUUUUUGCAAUUGGGAUUACAUGCUUUCUCUCCAAUUGCAUAGCCCCCUAUCGAAAGGUCAAGCCCCUCCGUCAGAGAAUUUCUAGCGUCACAAUAAGUAGUCUCAACUCAACGAUCGAGUAAUAUACUUUUCAAGAAAAAAUUAUUGUGUUAAGAUUAAGAGCAAAAGGGGUAACUAAGGUGGGGAAGUUAAACACAAAGCAUGAGAAAGCAUAUACCAAAAUAUGCUACCUACUUCACCAUGUCCAUCGGAUGAAUAAUGGACAGGAGACAGUUUGCAUUGUGCGCUCUGGAGAUGUUGAUAUUCUUGUUAUCCUUUUAGCCAACGAGGCUAAAAACUUGCAUUCCUUUAUGUAGUACGGAAGAGGAAAAUACAGGAGACUACUGGGUCUUAAUGCUUUUGCGCAAUCUUUAUUGCGGAAGCAAGCGCUCCUUGGCCUGCAUGCUGCCCCCAUGUAAAAGCAGCCUCGAAAAACACUUAAAGCGUGCAAACUUUGUAGCAAGGGGGUAGAGACUAGCUUCACAAAGCAUAAUCAACAAAGAAGAACCAGCCAAUCACGUCUGGUUAGAAGAUCUGUUAAUUGAUUGGUUCACGGAGCCCUUCUAUACUAUCCUGAGGACAUUGCGGAGCUAAUGUUUGCAAGCGAAGAAAAAUAAAGCGAAUCAGAAGGAGAAGGCGAAUUUAAACUAAACGCUUUAAGAAUACAGUAAUAGUAAAAUUCCCCUUCCCUGUAAUUGCCUGCGCCCCCCCCCCAUCAAUGCCAGAAAAGGCUAAAUUUGACAGAGCAUUGAUCAAGAAACCAAUUUUUAAUAAAAUUAAACAUUUCCUAAAGUGCAAUAAUUAAAUACAGUCAAAUUAGGUCACAUCGCGUGUUUUUGGGCUUUGACCCCCUGUAUCUAGAAAACGCCCCCCUAAACGCCAAAGCAACAUCCGAAUUCGUAAUCUACGCAAAAAGUUGCGUCAGAAAAAGUUAGUCUGGUUAAUUGCCAGCUCAGGUGAUAAUGCUCCCCCUCUCACCUCUGGUCUAUUUGUCAUUACACCAUUUUGGAAAGCACAAAACAGUGAUUCGACAUUCUCUAAUUAGACAAACGUCAAGCUGUUAUUCAUGAUUCAGAAAAUUUGCUGAUUUUCAUUCCAAUAUGCAAAUGGGUUGAGGCAAUCAAUUCAGUUAGAGAAUCUUUCCAAGAAUUUAAUACCCCCCGUCAGGGUACUUGGUACUUGCCACGAAAGAACGGCACUGCAUUCUUACAUAGAACGGGCUACGGUGGUGCCCGCCCUUCAUACCUGCUAAAUUGAAAAGGGAGGGGGAUAUUUCCAAGGAAUAAAACUCACUAUUUCCAUGGAAUAAAACUCACUAAUUACAAGCCUAAAUUACUGUUGCUCAUUUUAACGUACCUUGCUGCAGCAUC